GUGCUUAUAGUUCAGUUGGUUAGAGCGUCAGAUUGUGGUUCUGAAUGUCGUGGGUUCGAAUCCCACUAAGCACC
rfam:Prevotella sp. CAG:891 genomic scaffold, scf403